ACCUGAUUUACUAAUUGUUUGCCCCUUUUGCUAAACAAACAAGCCUAUUUUAUCAUUGGACAAGCCUUAAAUUCAUGAAAUCGGACGGUUUGAAAUAUGUGAUAAUUUCAGACAAUCCUGGCAAAAAUUAUUGUGGACACCGCGUGCGUCAAACAAAAAUAGAUGUAUCUCUACAGAAUUAAUCCCCAGAAAAUUUCUCCCCCUCCUACCCCCAAUUCAAUGUUGGUAAAUGAAACUUUAAAAUUUAAAUGCGAGAAACAACAUUGAAUACGGGGGGCAGGGGGCGACAAGUUUCAUGAAAGAACGUCUCAAUGUUAAUAUUGGCGUUAGAAAAGUUAGGUGUCCACAUAAUUUUUGCCAGGAUUGUAGGCGACAAAGGUGAGGUUUCAAAUUUUAUUAUGAAAGGCAAGUGAAUUAUUGGCGUAGUGCCGUAGCUGCGCAAGUUUAAAAGGUGAGGGUUCAAAGGUUGCGUUGCUUCCGUGGUUUUACGUGUCUAUAAUUAAUAGACUUGUACGUUGUUACUAUCAUCUGUUGUUGGUGAAGGAGUCAAUCCGUCAAAUAACAAAAAGGUUAAACAGUAACACAAGAUUAAAAACUCCGUCUAUCAAGAUUCUAUCAAGUAUCAACGACAUGAUUUUUCAGACACAUUAAUCGAAAGACUUGGUUCACACAUCAGUCAGACAAAAACAAAUAUAAAAAAUCGAGCAAAGCUUAACACACAACGGUCACAUUAUAAAACGUUUGUAACAAGGGACUCAUAGUCAUUGUUCCAUUAUAUUGAAAAGCGCCGUUCCUUCAGCCGGAUAGACGCACAAGGAUCAAGUUACACGUGGUUACUGUUUCAUUUUUAAAGUUCGUCCAAUUUUAUCAAUCUUCUAAGCGUUUUGAAAGAAAGCCAGAAAGUAGUAAUAACAUUUUGUCGUAUUAAUAUUUGUAAAUUGCCAUAAGGCAUGAUAAUUUUUAAUAACAGCUAGUUAGUACACCAUAAUCAGCCGGGGGCAGUUUUAGUGUAAACUAUUUCUAGUUUAAAGAUUUUCACGCGCGAGCUUUCAAAGCCUUUCCAAGCUAUGAGUAGUAUGAGACUACAUAAAAGAAACAAAUACCGCGCAUAUUUGGGCUGCCUAUGGUAAACGUAGUUGUAGAGUGCCAGUGAGGUACGAAUUAUCGCACCCUGGAUGGAAAGAUAAAAAUAACAAAGAAAAUAAAAACAAUGAUAUGGUGAACGAUAACAGCUUAAAGUCCCGUACAAAAGAACAUUUGUUUUCCACGUUCAAAACCAAAGCUUAGGCACUACCAGCUUUUAUGAAUUAUAUUCAAUAAAAAUGUUGCAAAAAAUUCCGAUAAAAACACACACGGUACUUACAAAGUGUUCACAGAAAUAUAUGGUCUUGU